AACGAACGCUGGCGGCAUGCCUAACACAUGCAAGUCGAACGAGACCUUCGGGUCUAGUGGCGCACGGGUGCGUAACGCGUGGGAACCUGCCCUUAGGUUCGGAAUAACUCCCCGAAAGGGGUGCUAAUACCGGAUAAUGUCUUCGGACCAAAGAUUUAUCGACUUUGGAUGGGCCCGCGUUGGAUUAGCUAGUUGGUAGGGUAAAAGCCCACCAAGGCGACGAUCCAUAGCUGGUCUGAGAGGAUGAUCAGCCACACUGGGACUGAGACACGGCCCAGACUCCUACGGGAGGCAGCAGUGGGGAAUAUUGGACAAUGGGCGAAAGCCUGAUCCAGCAAUGCCGCGUGAGUGAUGAAGGCCUUAGGGUUGUAAAGCUCUUUUACCCGGGAUGAUAAUGACAGUACCGGGAGAAUAAGCUCCGGCUAACUCCGUG
rnacentral:rRNA from 1 species